UACGUAGGGUGCAAGCGUUUAAUCGGAAUUACUGGGCGUAAAGCGUGCGCAGGCGGCUUUGCAAGACAGAUGUGAAAUCCCCGGGCUCAACCUGGGAACUGCAUUUGUGACUGCAUGGCUUGAGUGCGGCAGAGGGGGAUGGAAUUCCGCGUGUAGCAGUGAAAUGCGUAGAUAUGCGGAGGAACACCGAUGGCGAAGGCAAUCCCCCUGGGCCUGCACUGACGCUCAUGCACGAAAGCGUGGGGAGCAAACAGG
rnacentral:rRNA from 1 species